rnacentral:rRNA from 1 species
GAGUUUGAUCCUGGCUCAGGACGAACGCUGGCGGCGUGCCUAACACAUGCAAGUCGAACGGGGAUAUUGAUUUCGGUUGAUAUCCUAGUGGCGAACGGGUGAGUAACGCGUGAGCAACCUGACCUUUUGAGGGGGAUAACACCUGGAAACAAGUGCUAAUACCGCAUAAGACCACGGAGCGGCAUCGUUCAGGGGUCAAAGGAGGAAUCCGCAGAAGGAGGGGCUCGCGUCCCAUUAGAUAGUAGGCGGGGUAACGGCCCACCUAGUCGACGAUGGGUAGCCGAGCUGAGAGGCUGAUCGGCCACACUGGAACUGAGACACGGUCCAGACUCCUACGGGAGGCAGCAGUGGGGAAUAUUGCACAAUGGGGGAAACCCUGAUGCAGCGACGCCGCGUGAAGGAAGAAGUAUCUCGGUAUGUAAACUUCUAUCAGCAGGGAAGAUAGUGACGGUACCUGACUAAGAAGCCCCGGCUAACUACGUGCCAGCCGCCGCGGUAAUUC